GUCUGCUGGUCAUGCUGUGAGGAGGAAGCGAUGGGAAGCAGGGAGCUAGAAAUGCAGAGGGGAGAAGAAGGAGAGAACAAGCCGGAGCUGUGUGCGGUUGUUCCUAGGACUGCAGCUUAGCAAAGGUGUGGUUGCAUUUCAGUCAUGAUGUCAGAAGAAAUAAUAGACCAUUUCUGUACUGUCUUGUUUCAAGUUUCGUAACCAUUUCACCAAUUCAAGGCAAAAUGAAGGUAAAUGCUUCCAGAUGAGACCAACCAGCCAGUGGGCAGCGUGUUUCCAAUGGGAGCACUGUCCUGUGCUGCAAGGCACCCCCUGUCACCCACACAACUCCAGAUCCUCCCAAAUCUUGCUUUAGCAUGAUUUGGAUGAUACAAAGGCCUUUACUUCUUUUUUUUAAUCAUUAUCAAUUCAAAUGUCACAUUUUCAGUUUUAUUACCUUACCUUUUUUCCCUUUGCUUCCCAAAA